CUGGUGAGUGGGGGGCGGUUCCACGCUCGGGGUGCAGCGGUGCCGCUCCGGGGGGCGGCCUGGAGUCCGCGCGGGUGCGGCUCGGUCGCCGAUGGGAGGUGGCGAGGGAGGAUGGAAGUGGAUUGCGCGGCCGGGCCUGGUCCGCGGCCUGCACCGCCGGGGGCUCCGCCUCAUGGCGGCCCUGCGGAUGUAUGAGGGGGAUCCUGUGGGGCCUCACAUGCUAAUAGCUCAUGCUUUGGGUUUCGGGGUCCUGCCUGCCAGCCUAGAUGUGGUCGUGGCCCGUGUCCCCUGUAAUACAAGCGAUAUGUAAGCGGGGGCCCGCUGUAAAUACAAACGAUGGGUACCCGGUUUUUGUAGGUUUGGAUUUUUUUUAACUGCGCUGGGCUUUGAGGAGCUUGUUUUUGAACCUAAAUGGGAAACAUUGUGCAAAAAGCAGUAAUGGCAGGGUGAAGGAUCCCUGCACAGCUGGGAUGUGUAGAAGGAUUAAGAACUGGCUCCACAGCCCCAAGGCUGCUGGGCUUUGAGAAACGUUUGGGCAGUGCUCUCAGGAGCACAUGGUGACUCUUGGCGAUAGUCCUGUACAAGUCUAAGAGUUGGACUCCGUGGUCCUUAUAAAUCCUGACUCAGCACGUUUAAAGAGAAAUGGCUCGCUUCACUUCCUUAUGCUCUGCACAUGAUGAAAACUAUGUUGGUAGGGACAUCUGAGAAGGGUGAUGAACACCAACAUAUCUGAGCUGGGCAUAGAAUACUUUUGAUGGCUGAGAGCAUCACUGGGCCUUUCUGAACAGCCAAAGGUCAUGCCUGCCUGACUGUUCCAGUGAUAAUACACAGAAUCGAUGCUGUAGAAAGAAAACAAAGUAGUUUAGUGAUUGCAUACUGCUAAAAAAUAUAUAAUAGCAAGUAUUUUUUGUGGCCUCAAUUCUUCAAAGAGCCAAAAUUUGGAUUGCAUCAGGGAAAAUUUUGAGACUCAAGUAUUUUGGAUGUUGCUUGAAUUUUGCAGAGUAAUAUUUGUGAACAUUGUUUCCUUUUUGGAAGAAGAAAAACUAAUAUGCUUUCUUGUUUUUUAGUUCAACAUGUAUCAGCUGCACUCUUCCUUCUUCUGGCUUCAGUGCAGAUUUGCUGCCACAUGUGGAGGCUUAAAGCUACUUCUUCCCAAGGAUUUGAAUCCUGCACUUCAGAUGUAUGCAGAAGGAACAUCACCUAAGAAGGCUCUGGGAGAUUAAACUAUAAGCUGUUACAAGGUAAGUACUGCAUUGCUGACAUCUGUAAAAACUCAUUUCAUCCCUGCUCUCUGGAAAGGCUGCUGUGAUGACUGCAUAGUUCAGCAGAUGACCUGUGGUGAACAAAAUUACUGUCUUUCGCCUCCUAUCUGAUGCAGCCUCCUGUAGCUCAGGCUAUUUCAAACAAAUCAUGUGGGAAGCUGAAUGUGAAACUUUUUUGCUCUGUGAAUGUGUUUUAAAAAUAUAUCUCAGGAGACUAGUAAGUGGGUUAAACAAAAAAAAUUAAGAUGAACAGAAAGAUGAAGAAUAGGAUGUGGUUGUGAAGUCAAGCACAAAAUAUAGCAGAAUAAGGUUAAUCAAGUAUUAGUGCUUCAGGUUGUAAAAGUCUUGUUGCUUUGCAGGCUUCCCUGGACAAAGGAGCCCCAUGCCUCUUCUGUAACAAACUGUUUCACCUGUUGCUGAUAUUGGUGAAGACGAGGCCUUCCUAAUUAGAGGCUUCCAGAUAUUUCUCAUUGUGAGGUAAGUACUUGUUUGAACUUCCUAAGUAUUAGGAUUUCAACAUAGGCCCACAAGUUAAGGCAACUUGUCAGCUAGGGGGAAAAGGGCAGGGGUCCCAUUGGCUGUGGCUUGCAUCUCAGCCAAAACAAGGGGAUGUUUUAAAUGAAAACUGCUGGCUGGAGCCCAGUCUUCUCAGGCUGGUGUGCAUUAAAACUUGUCACUGUGAGCUCUAGAAUUUGCUCUGAUGGUGCUAUUUAGGUAUUUGCCCUCUUGCCCAUAGCAGCCUAGCCCUACAGCAGGGCUGCACAGGGGCUGACAGUGUGGGCUGCCUGUGUGAUGAGACGUGACUGCCUUGACUUCAAUCAUGGAGGUCUGUAAUUAGCUCUAUCUGACUGCAGGCACCUGACCUGGAUUUCUUCUUUCUGUGCUUGUUUCUGCACUGUCCUAAUGGUUUGCUUUCAUCCAGGUGUCACAGAGCUGGGAAGAAGUGAUGCACCUGGUAUUGCUGCCAGCAAAAGUAAGUUGCUAGCUCAUGAGUGACUGGUCAGAACUGUGUGAUACAGGAAAUGAAAAAGUUACAAGAUAUCUUGGCCUUCAUGUUGCAGCUGCAGCAUUAAGCGGGUUUCUUAAAGAUUUUACUACCUUUUCUAUAUAAAAAAAGGUCACAGAUAUGCCAGCAGCCUGCAGGAUUCACUCACUUAAUGUACUGUGUAUCUCAAACUCGAAAUUAAGUGCUUUCUGUGACUAAAAAGAAAUAGUGGUGGCCAUUUUAAAUAUAUAACUGCUUUUGAAUUCCUGCUUGAUAAGAAAAGCUCUGUGCUACCAGGUUCCCACACCUUCUAGGCUGAGCAAAUGCAGUACAAUUACCUGCUGUUGAACUUCCUGCUAUUUAAAUUUAGUGGGCUCUUUCAUGCAGUAACACUGAUCUUAAAUGCUUAUGUGGUAAAUUGUUUCUUGAUGGCUAGAUCAGAGCUUUUAUGGUGAUGUGAAUGAGGAUGUGGUUGGGAGUAAGGUCAGGUCCCCCUUUAAAGGACAAAAAAAAGGAAAACAUGAAUCCACUCUUGGCAUGUACUGUUUGUGAUGAAUUCUAAGCAAUGGGAAUCUCUCUGAAAGAGGCUGAGGAGAGCUCUUGUGCUGAAACAGUACCCACAUUCACACUCUCAAACCAUUGCCAAAAGUGUGUUAGUACAAUUUCACUUCUUCACAGGGUGAAGCUUGCGUGGAGUUAAAGAAACAAGAUGGAUAUGUCUGAGGAAGGGACUGUGCUGUCUGCAGCUCAUUGGGUGAAGAGGCAAUUCUGAAACUAGCAUAUGAAGAAUUAAGGAGGUGGAAGAUUGCUGAUGAAUGGGUUACACUUACAUGAAUAACAUUAAAAAAGCUGAUGUCUUUUUACUUCACUGGUAAUGUUUGCCUGAUGCUUAUUGGAGCCAAUAAAAAUCUGCAAACUCUA